GUCACAGUGGAGAAUUCCUGACACGUCAUUGCAGAGUCACAAGCAGUGCCUCUCUUUUGUCAUUGAAUGGAGCAAUGUCAACUCUCCCUAUGUCGUUGAACUGAAACAUGAAUCAAGAAAGGUGGGUGUGACCAUCAUCUGUGGCUGAAGAGAUAAGAAGAAACAUCUAUAUUGUCAUGAACAUUCAUGCAUACACACAAAAUUUGUUCUCUGCAUUGAAUGCAUCACAGGAAGGACUGAUCUCUGGAUGGAAAGAAUGUUGAAAAUUUGGAAAAAAACGUUAAAUUGUUUUCAUCAAGCUAAGAAAUCAACAGGUUUGGUAGGCCUCCACCACUCCUUGUGUCUAGAGAACGGUCACACCAGUACUAUUAAUAUGUUAAAUAUUUGUAUACUGUAGUCUGGGAUGAUUGAUGAAAAAGCUACCUCAGAUUGUUAUUAAUAUUAAGGAACACUUGGUAAUACUAUUGUUUUUGUUGACCUGUUUUAAAAUCUUUUACUUCAAGUAGCACAUGCUCUAAAAUACAUAGUACAUUACUUA